AGCUACAGGGUGUCGCACCCACGUCCGCAGGGACCCACUAGAGGGCACCCACGUGACACCCUGUCAUGACUCUUAGCGAUGGCAAGUGGAGUCAAACACCUGUUACAGAAGCGCGAGAUGUUACCACAGACACACACAUAAUGACAGUUUGGGUUGUGGUACGCAUGGUGGCGUGUUGAUGUGCGCCUCGACACUGUGACCCGCUGUCUGCCUGUGUGUGGAAAAAGUGCGCCCAUUUUGACUUAAUCGUGCGCGACACUGUGGAAAAUAACAAUUCUAAUGAACUCAUCAAGCCAUUACGAAUGUGUUUGGUUUCAAUCGUGACAACUUGUGGGAGACGAGGUGUUUUACCUGGAUUGCAAGUGGCGAGGCGCGCGUUGGGCAAAUGAGGCAGCGACGUGCCGGGACGCAUUUCUGCAGCAGGGUGGACUUGUCCGACCACGACUACUGCUACGCAAACGUCUUGAAGAGCCCCGAACAUGAUAUCCGGGUGGUCUCACCGGGUGGUCUAAAUCUUGCACAGACAUGUUCUGGAAUACUGUAAAUCAGCUGAAGCCUUCCGAUGUUGGGAAGUCUGUGACGGGGGGGGUAUGUGUACAGAGGAUGUGAGUCACCCAAUCUCAAUGGACUGUACAUCUUUGGAGACUUCAUGAGUGGGUAAGAGCGCGUUGGAUCGAGUACUCCAACUGUUGUGGGAGCAGCUGUCGUGCCUUCUUUAUUUAUUUAUUGAAAAUCAUCCAAGACCCCGAGUUUAUUUAAGUGCGCAUCAUGGCGUUGGAGGAAGACACGUCCACAGGGGGGCUGGAAGGAGAGGAGUGUGUGUUUGGGCCAAAGGAAGACGUGCUCAUUCCCCGGACUCAUCAAUCGUCACCACAGGUUCAUCGUCUCCUCUGCUGAAGAUGAAGCAGGUACCGGCGAUUCUCACAGAGCGCAGAACUGUAUUUUCUGGCCACUGCCCACCCGAGCACCACGUCUCCUCAUGGAGCUGUUUUCAAAUUCAUGGAUCGGUCCAGAAGAGCUCCUCCAGGAAAAUGUAAGCAGAAGCCGCUGCCUGUCAAGAGUCGGGAGGAAAAAGGUUCCUUUUGUGGAGAAUGUAAGUCAUGUAGGAUAUUAGAAACAAAUAGACAAUCCGGUUCAUAAAAUUAAUAAAAAUGCAUAUAGUGUACACCAGAAU